AAAAGUAAGACUCUUAUAAGAUAAGCAAUAUAUAUAUUGUUGGAGAAGUCCCACAUCGACUAAAGAUGAAACCAAUUUAUAGUAUAUAUUGUGUUGCACACCUUACCUUUCAAGUUGGCCUUGUGAUGUUGAGUUAGGCAUAAAACCCACUUAACUUAAAGAAUAUACGUGGUUAUGUUAUAGUAUACCUUUGGUUGUAGACCUCACCUUACAAGCC
rnacentral:lncRNA from 1 species